UGAGGAAUAUUGGUCAAUGGGCGAGAGCCUGAACCAGCCAAGUAGCGUGAAGGAUGACUGCCCUAUGGGUUGUAAACUUCUUUUAUAAAGGAAUAAAGUCGGGUAUGUAUACCCGUUUGCAUGUACUUUAUGAAUAAGGAUCGGCUAACUCCGUGCCAGCAGCCGCGGUAAUACGGAGGAUCCGAGCGUUAUCCGGAUUUAUUGGGUUUAAAGGGAGCGUAGAUGGAUGUUUAAGUCAGUUGUGAAAGUUUGCGGCUCAACCGUAAAAUUGCAGUUGAUACUGGAUAUCUUGAGUGCAGUUGAGGCAGGCGGAAUUCGUGGUGUAGCGGUGAAAUGCUUAGAUAUCACGAAGAACUCCGAUUGCGAAGGCAGCCUGCUAAGCCAUGACUGACGCUGAUGCACGAAAGCGUGGGGAUCAAACAGGAUUUAGAUACCC
rnacentral:rRNA from 1 species